AAAUAUUUAUCAUGCAUAAACAGACUCAUCUCAGGCAGAUAAUAUAAAUAAAUAAUAAAACAAAGCAUUAAAUAAUAAUUAAAGAACCUGAAUGAGGUAAACAAUAGUCUUGAACACUCCACCACAAGCCGGUAGGAUUUGUUCUUGGAUUCUUCAAUUAAACAACAAAUUAAAACGAAGGAAAUAAAACUAGAUUCUAACGUAAGGUUAGAUCCGGUAAAAAGGUGCACAAUAGUUUCCGGUGUAGAAACUAUUGCACGAAAAGAAUUAACUAAAUGCUAAAAAGGAAAAAGGAAAAUAGAAAUUGCAAAAGAGGUAAAGU
rnacentral:lncRNA from 1 species